UAUUUCAACUGAAAAAGUCAUUAACAAGAAAGAUGUAUAACUCAUCAAGAUAUAUAACUUUUAUUUUGGUCAUUUGUUUAUCCGACAAAAUUCACACAUCUCCUAAUAGUAACAUUGUUCACAAAAUUUACAUAUCUCCUAUCUGGUUUUAUAAACUAUAAGAUAGAUAUAUAAAUUUUGUGAACAAUGUUAGUAACAGUUUGUCAAAUUAAAAAAUAACAAACAUAAAAGUUAUAGAUCUUGAUUAGUUAUACGACUUUGUUGUUGAUGACUUUUUAGUUGAAAUC
rnacentral:pre_miRNA from 1 species